AGUACUACAUAAUUUGCCUUCAUAUAAUUGGAAAUCAUGCAACAUUUUCUUAUUUUUCCUCUUUUAAAUGAUGCGUGGAUGCAUUUAUAUGUUUAAUGGCGGUUGAUUAGGUGAUCUCAGGUGCAAUUUUGUUAGGGUGGCAAUUAUUGACAUAAUCCAAUUAAAUGAACGACACAAAGUUAACCAGGUUAUGGUUGGGUAUAAAUGGCUCAAUGUGUUCAUGACACACUAAAAAAAGGUGUAUUAAGCAGGUUGACCUGUAUAAGCCAAAUAGAACCAUUUAUGCACGAUUACUUAGUCGGCUAAUGUGUCAACCCAUAUAACAUGACCCAAAUCACACUUUUAUAAUCUGUGUAUGAAUUUAGAA
rnacentral:misc_RNA from 1 species